GUUCUCAACUUGAACGCUGUCGUGCAAGGCCUCGCUGCCGAAGCGACUGAGACCCUAAGCGGAGCCUCUUCAAGGAGCGCUCCCCACGUU
rnacentral:rRNA from 1 species